rnacentral:lncRNA from 1 species
UUGCAGCCAAACGCAAAUGAAUCUCAGACAAAUUCUGCUUGUCAUAACUCUAUUCAUUGUGCUCUUUGGCCUAAUCUUAUCAUUGUUAAUAGUUCCGUAUGAUUCAGACACUGAUUUGGAUACUCGAGGUCCUCUGACUGAGUUUCCUAAACAAGAAAUGAUACUUCACAUGCCUGAAAAUGAAUAAUCUAGAAUAUUUCAUUAACAUUCAGCUGACCAGUUUUAAAUAAGAGCAGUUGGGAUUGCAUUCAAUUAAACUGGAGUCUAUAAGAGUGUCAUGAGGCAAGAUGGAGUUUCUUAUUGAAGGUGAAGGCCAAGCAAGACCAGCGACAGCAUCAUGACAGAGCAUCUCAUGGAACUAGUGAUCUACAAAAUACUUUGGAAGUCCUAGUACAGUUUGAGCUUGUGCAGAAAAUAUGGAGCAUUUUAAAUUGACCAAUCUUAAGUAAGUGAAGAAGACAAAGUUGGAAAGGAGUCAUGCAGCUGGAGGCUACAAGAUUCCGACCCUCCCUAAACUGCACCUAAGAUCAGUGCUUGAGAUAUUUUGCAGCCCCUGCACUUGAUGGAUCAGCUGGCACCACCCAGAUCAAUAAACUGGCUCAUCUGAUCUUCUGGACCCCCACCCAGGAAAUGAUUCAGCACAAGAAGACAGCUCUAACUCCCUAUGAUUUCAUCUCUGACCAAUCGGCUCUCCUGGAACACUGGCUUCCCCCACCCACCAAGUUAUCCUUAAAAACUCUGCUCCCCAAAUGCUCAGGGAGACUGAUUUGAGUAAUAAUAAAACCCUGGUCUCCCGCACAGCUGGCUCUGUGUGAAUUACUCUUUUUCUAUUACAGUUCCCCUGUCCUGAUGAAUCGGCUCUGUCUAGGCAGCAGGCAAGGUGAAUCCCUUAGGCAGUU